rnacentral:SRP_RNA from 1 species
GGAUAGGUCUGUACGACGGACUGCCGUGAACCAUGUCAGGCGGGGAACCGAGCAGCAUUAAGCGGAUUUGUCCGUGCGAUGCAGGGUGCCUGUCCGUU